rnacentral:rRNA from 1 species
UUCCGGUUGAUCCUGCCGGAGGCCAUUGCUAUUGGGAUUCGAUUUAGCCAUGCUAGUCGCACGAGUUCAGACUCGUGGCGAAUAGCUCAGUAACACGUGGCCAAACUACCCUUCGGAACACAAUACCCUCGGGAAACUGAGGCUAAUAGUGUAUACCACAGUCCACCUGGAAUGAGGACUGUGCCAAACGCUCCGGCGCCGAAGGAUGUGGCCGCGGCCGAUUAGGUAGACGGUGGGGUAACGGCCCACCGUGCCAAUAAUCGGUACGGGUCAUGAGAGUGAGAACCCGGAGACGGAAUCUGAGACAAGAUUCCGGGCCCUACGGGGCGCAGCAGGCGCGAAACCUUUACACUGCACGACAGUGCGAUAAGGGAAUCCCAAGUGCGUAGGCAUAGAGCCUACGCUUUUGUCCACCGUAGGGAGGUGGACGAAUAAGGGCUGGGCAAGACCGGUGCCAGCCGCCGCGGUAAUACCGGCAGCCCGAGUGAUGGCCGAUCUUAUUGGGCCUAAAGCGUCCGUAGCUGGCCGCGCAAGUCUAUCGGAAAAUCCACCCGCUCAACGGGUGGGCGUCCGGUAGAAACUGCGUGGCUUGGGACCGGAAGGCGCGACGGGUACGUCCGGGGUAGGAGUGAAAUCCUGUAAUCCUGGACGGACCGCCGAUGGCGAAAGCACGUCGCGAAGACGGAUCCGACAGUGAGGGGCGAAAGCUAGGGUCUCGAACCGGAUUAGAUACCCGGGUAGUCCUAGCCGUAAACAAUGCCUGUUAGGUGUGGCUCCCACUACGAGUGGGUGCUGUGCCGUAGGGAAGCCGCUAAACAGGCCGCCUGGGAAGUACGUCCGCAAGGAUGAAACUUAAAGGAAUUGGCGGGGGAGCACUACAACCGGAGGAGCCUGCGGUUUAAUUGGAUUCAACGCCGGG